AUACGGAGGGUGCAAGCGUUAAUCGGAAUUACUGGGCGUAAAGCGUACGUAGGCGGUUAGUUAAGUUAGAUGUGAAAGCCCCGGGCUUAACCUGGGAACUGCAUUUAAAACUGGCUAACUAGAGUUAAUUAGAGGGGAGUGGAAUUUCAGGUGUAGCGGUGAAAUGCGUAGAGAUCUGAAGGAACACCAGUGGCGAAGGCGACUCCCUGGACUUGAACUGACGCUGAGGUACGAAAGCGUGGGUAGCAAACGGGAUUAGAUACCCUAGUAGUCC
rnacentral:rRNA from 1 species